rnacentral:rRNA from 1 species
AACGAACGCUGGCGGCAUGCCUAAUACAUGCAAGUCGAACGAUCACUUCGGUGGUAGUGGCGCACGGGUGCGUAACGCGUGGGAAUCUGCCCUUGGGUUCGGAAUAACGUCGGGAAACUGACGCUAAUACCGGAUGAUAACGUAAGUCCAAAGAUUUAUCGCCCAGGGAUGAGCCCGCGUAGGAUUAGCUAGUUGGUGGGGUAAAGGCCUACCAAGGCGACGAUCCUUAGCUGGUCUGAGAGGAUGAUCAGCCACACUGGGACUGAGACACGGCCCAGCCUCCUACGGGAGGCAGCAGUAGGGAAUAUUGGACAAUGGGGCCAACCUUGAUCCAGCAAUGCCGCGUGAGUGAUGAAGGCCUUAGGGUUGUAAAGCUCUUUUACCCGGGAUGAUAAUGACAGUACCGGGAGAAUAAGCCCCGGCUAGCUCCGUGCCAGCCGCCGCCGUAA